GGCAGUUCUCGGGUGAUGCACCCCAGAAUCGGGUUCCCUCCUCUCUGGUUCCAAUGUGUCACCUGAGAACCCCA
rfam:Myotis davidii contig208361, whole genome shotgun sequence.